rnacentral:rRNA from 1 species
GACGAACGCUGGCGGCGUGCUUAACACAUGCAAGUCGAACGGAAAGGCCCUGCUUUUGUGUGGUGCUCGAGUGGCGAACGGGUGAGUAACACGUGAGUAACCUGCCCUUGACUUUGGGAUAACUUCAGGAAACUGGGGCUAAUACCGGAUAGGAUCUCCUGCUGCAUGGUGGUGGUUGGAAAGUUUCGGCGGUUGGGGAUGGACUCGCGGCUUAUCAGCUUGUUUGUGUGGUAGUGGCUUACCAAGGCUUUGACGGGUAGCCGGCCUGAGAGGGUGACCGGCCACAUUGGGACUGAGAUACGGACCAGACUCCUACGGGAGGCAGCAGUGGGGAAUAUUGCACAAUGGGCGGAAGCCUGAUGCAGAAACGCCGCGUGCGGGAUGACGGCCUUCGGGUUGUAAACCGAUUUCGCCUGUGACGAAGCGUGAGUGACGGUAAUGGGUAAAGAAGCAACGGCUAACUACGUG